rnacentral:lncRNA from 1 species
AAUGUCUGAGGCUAGUUUGAGCUUCUUGGCACCCCUGCCCGAUCCAGGGCCUAAGCAAAUAAACGGCCUCUGAAUGUAACCACGGAUUCAAGUGACGAGGUUGUACACUAGCAUUCGCAUGUCAUGCGUAGUUGUACAUAAGACUGCAACUAGCUAAGCUACUAUGACUUACUCCCUUUGUUCAAAACUGUGAGUCGUUAUGACUUUUUUUUGCUAUGUAUAUAUAUUUAUAGACAUAAUGUAUAUAUAUUUAGGUGCUUAGUAGAAGCUACUCCCUCUGUCCUGUAAUAUAGUGUAUUCUAAAAAUUUUAAGACAAAUUAAGAGAGAGUAUCAAAGACGCAUGUACUCUUGUUUUAUUUCAUAAUCAGAUACUAUCAUCUAUGUGAUUGGUUAAUAAAUGAAAAAUAUUUAAUGCAAAAAUAAGUUUUGUUUUCCACAAUACAUUUAUAUUUGAAGAUAAAUCUUAAAUGCUAGCUAGAAUACAGUAUAUUAUAGAAAGGAGAGGGAGUAUGUAUCUAGAAAAUACAUAAUAACCACUUACAAUUUAUAAGAAUGGAUAGAGCAAAUGUCAACGGCAGGGGAGCUACAUGCAGUAGGUAACAAGACUUUGUAUCAGCGGAAGACAGGCCGGGCCGGCCGAGACCUGACCUGACCUGAAUGGAUCUGGCUCGCCUGUGCAUACAUCCAUCGCAUUGGUGCUUUUCUUUCAGUCUUUUCUUUUUGCCUGUUACCAUGAAAAGGAAAAAAAAAACAGUUUUCUACAGUAGGUCAGAAUCAGGUACCUAUAAUUGGGUGAAAAAAAAAGAAGGGAAGAGAUCGAAUACAAAAUCAGGUAACAACCAGGAUGCCUACUUUCCCUCUUAGUAAUCUCUAGUGUGCGAGUUGACUUUACUCCCUUCAUAUAUAUGUAAAUAAAGUUGUUUAGGACAGUGACACAAUCUCUAAAACUUAAAUUUGACUCUUUGUUUUUUAUCAAAAUAUUUAUAAAAAAUGAUAUAUAUAUAUAUAUGUAUAUUUUUAUAAAUGUAUUUUUUAAGACAAAUCUAUUCAUAGGAUUUUCACAUUUCCAAACUUAUCAACUUAAAAGUUAUUCAUGAUUUAUAUUUCCAAUGUUUAAAACUUUGUCCAAAAUGACUUUCUUUACGGGUACGAAGAGAGUAUAUAAUAAUUUGACUGGUUAGCUUAGCUAGUUACUACUAAUAAUGAAGUACUAGCUACAUCAGUUGUAUUCGAAUUAAAAUUACUUAGUAAUAUGGUGUGCUAAGCUGAACAAUGCAUGCUUGUUGAAUUACCUGGAAAGGAUCGAAGAACUCUUAGUAUAACCCAAAAAGCUGGUGAGAUAUAUAGCACUGCUAGCUGAUCUGAGAUGGAUCGAUAGCCCUUGAUCUCCAAUGCAGCAUCAUCAAGAUUCCCACACAUACACAUAUAUAUUCACAGAGGCAUAUAUGAUGCAGCAGCAGCUAAAACAUGUAGUAAAACUGCUAUUAAUGGCAGGCAAAGAAGGCGGCAGAGAUGCAUGUAUGCAUUUGCAAGCAGUGUGUGAAUCUUGAUGAUGCCACGCCAGAAAUCACCGGCUGAUGAUGAUAAUACAUCUCUCUCUCUCUCUCUCUCUCUCUCUCUCUCUCUCUCUCUCUCUCUCUCUCUCUCUCUCUCUCUCUCCAUAUACGUAUCGUCGUCUCCAGCUGCUAUAGAUUGCAGAUUUGCAUGCAUAUAUAGCGAGCCUAUAUAUACAGCCCAACAAUGAUACAUAGCAGAUCCAUAUGGAGGAAGAGAUGGGGAGGCAGGAAGGGAUCGAACAAAUAAGCUAAUUAAGUGAGCAAGCACCGUGCGUGCGUGUGUGUGUGUGUGCGCAUGUGCGCGCGCGCUGGAGACGAUGAAGAUGCAUAUAUAUGCUGCUCAUGCUCAUUUCCGGAUGACGAAUGGACCAGGUUAGAGAUAGAUAGAUAGAUAGAUAGAUAGAUAGAUAGAUAGAUAGAUAGAUAGAUAGAUAGAGCAUACAUGCAUGGCAUGGCUUGCAGCACACAAGCACGAUCCUCCGAUCCAUCUCUCUCUCUCUCUCUCUCUCUCUCUCUGCGUGUGUGUGUGUUUUCUCCCAAAAAUUAAGCUAUAUAUAUCUAUCUCUAGCUAAUAAUAAGAGCCUCAUCAGGUACGGUAGUGAUGAAUGAAUGAAGAACUUAGAACAAAGGAUGGAUGAUCGAUUGAUCGGACGACGGACGGACGGAUCGAGGGGAUACGAAAGAAUGAAAAAAAAAAAGCAGCUGGGACUAGGAGAGGGUUGCUUGCCUUGGCAUAUGUAUAUAUAUAAGCAGAGUACACACAAAGCAGCCGGAGAGGCCGUCAGAGCCAGAAAGGAACGAAUGAAGAAGCUAGCUAGCGACUAUAGUGAUGACUAAUAGCUAGCUAGUGACCUCUAAUAAUAAGCUAGCUGCAGGGCGCUGGGCUUGUUGUUGUAUGCUGCCUGUUGCGCAAACUUGCAUUGGGGCCGAGCCGGCCGGCCAUAUCUCAUGCAUGCAUAUGCUGUGCUGCACUAGUGUUUGAUGCAAUUCUUGUGCUGCUGGUGGGCUAGCUACCCGGCCAGAGCUUGCUUUAUCGUCUUUCACUGGCCAGAAUAAUGCAUGCAUCCUUCAUUAGUCAUGCGCAUAUUGUUAAUUUUGAUUCAGAUUGUAG